UGCAGGCUCCUUAUGAGAAUCCAGUGCCUAAUUGUCUGUCACUGUCUUCCAUCAGCUCCAGAUGGGACCAUCUAGUUGCAGGAAAACAAGCUCAGGGCUCCCACUGGUUCUACAUUAUGAUGCGUGCUGUGAUGAGAAAUUCCGAAGCACACAUUAGAAGCAAUGACGGUUAUCAGCCUAGCAGAGGCCGAUGGGCUUCCUCGGAUCCUGCCAUGGCACCAAAGGAAUGCGAGAAAAUGAUUGGCUGGGGAGCUCUUCCACAUUGUCAGGAACGCUGGAAAAAGGCUGAAAGAGAAUGAUGAGAAAAAACCUGGAGAAUGGCAAAUGCUUCACUGAAGCAAUCUGCUACAUUCCUCCUUGCAGAGUGGGAUGCCUGGCCUGAGAUGAGAGAAGUAAUAGGACUGAGAGGAAGUGAAAGAAAUAGAACCCAAGGAGAGCAGGACAGAAAGAAAAGAUUUAUAGCAUGGAUUGUAGCCACUCUAAUAUUUGGGCUCCUCCUGAACUUAAUCCAACUUCCACGUUACUGAAAAUUUAUUAUUUCCCUUAUGGAUUUGUAGAAAACAGAUAGCAAAUGAAUAAGGAAAAUGGAAAGAGACCCAAAAAAGAGACAAAAAAUGGAGAGGACUGUGAGUCCAAUUCCUGUUUCUCCUGCUUUUGUCAGACCAAGUAAA
rnacentral:lncRNA from 10 species